UUAAUACAUGCAAGUCGAACGCACGAAGUUGAAGAGCUUGCUCUUUAACCAAGUGAGUGGCGGACGGGUGAGUAACACGUGGGUAACCUGCCCAUUAGAGGGGGAUAACAUUCGGAAACGGAUGCUAAUACCGCAUAGUUUCAGGAAUCGCAUGAUUCUUGAAGGAAAGGUGGCUUCGGCUACCACUAAUGGAUGGACCCGCGGCGUAUUAGCUAGUUGGUGAGGUAAUGGCUCACCAAGGCAAUGAUACGUAGCCGACCUGAGAGGGUGAUCGGCCACACUGGGACUGAGACACGGCCCAGACUCCUACGGGAGGCAGCAGUAGGGAAUCUUCCGCAAUGGACGAAAGUCUGACGGAGCAACGCCGCGUGAGUGAAGAAGGUUUUCGGAUCGUAAAACUCUGUUGUUAAAGAAGAACAAGGAUGAGAGUAACUGCUCAUCCCCUGACGGUAUUUAACCAGAAAGCCACGGCUAACUACGUGCCAGCAGCCGCGGUAAUACGUAGGUGGCAAAGCGUUGUCCGGAUUUAUUGGGCGUAAAGCGAGCGCAGGCGGUUCUUUAAGUCUGAUGUGAAAGCCCCCGGCUCAACCGGGGAGGGUCAUUGGAAACUGGAGAACUUGAGUGCAGAAGAGGAGAGUGGAAUUCCACGUGUAGCGGUGAAAUGCGUAGAUAUGUGGAGGAACACCAGUGGCGAAGGCGACUCUCUGGUCUGUAACUUGACGCUUGAGGCUCGAAAGCUGUGGGGAGCAAACAGGAUUAGAUACCCUGGUAGUCCACGCCGUAAACGAUGAGUGCUAAGUGUUGGAGGGUUUCCGCCCUUCAGUGCUGCAGCUAACGCAUUAAGCACUCCGCCUGGGGAGUACG
rnacentral:rRNA from 1 species